UCUCCUACGGGAGGCAGCAGUGAGGAAUAUUGGUCAAUGGCCGCAGGGCUGAACCAGCCAAGUCGCGUGAGGGAUGACGGUCCUAUGGAUUGUAAACCUCUUUUGUCAGGGAGCAAAGGGCGCCACGUGUGGCGCUUUGCGAGUACCUGAAGAAAAAGCAUCGGCUAACUCCGUGCCAGCAGCCGCGGUAAUACGGAGGAUGCGAGCGUUAUCCGGAUUUACUGGGUGUAAAGGGAGCGCAGGCGGCCUGCCAAGUCUGGUGUGAAAACCCGGGGCCCAACCCCGGGCCUGCAUUGGAAACUGGC
rnacentral:rRNA from 1 species